rnacentral:sRNA from 1 species
GCUGGGCAGGGUGGCUCAUGCCUGUAAUUCCAGCACCUUGGAGGCUGAGGCAGGAGGAUCAUGAGUUCAUAGCCAGCCUCAGCAAAAGCGAGGUGCUAAGCAACUCAGUGAGACCCUGUCUCUA